rnacentral:lncRNA from 1 species
GUUUACAAUGGUUGUGACAGUACACUAAAGAUGAUAUCUCUUCUCUGUGAUUGCAACAUAAUAAACUCCGAUAGUAUCCAUGUUUAUUUAUCCCAAAAACAUGCUCAAUCCUAGAGCACAGCAGACAUGGUGUUUGCAAAUUGCAGUAAUGCGCAAAUUUUGUUAGCAAAUAUGACAGAGUAGCAUCAACAAACAGCAUAAAUAUGAGGAACCAUUCACAAGCUGCAGAAGUUAAGAGAGUCAUAAAUCUACGAUGAUUUCUCAGCCUAACAGAUGAAUUCCCCAUGGCAGCCAUUCUCAGGAGAACAAAUCUCGAUAUCACAUUAAGUUUCCAACUUGAUCAUACCAGUAACUAGAGCUCAGUAACACCGAAAGUCCUGAUUCCUCAAGCAAAUAUCAAUCAAUUCCUCGUGUGAUGGCACACUGUAAACCUUGCAAGAAAAUAAAAGCCGUCAGGACAACCCUAAAUUCAUUGUUCAAGUACAAGAAUUGUACCCAAUCGUCGUACACUAGCCAAAACAUAAACUUAGGUAUUAAUAUCUGGGGAAAAAAAAGGUUAUAUCCAUGAACCAAUAUCACAAAAAGCAUCAAAAUUUGAAUUGCAGGUUGAUCAAAGAGUGAUCAUUAGAAGCGCAACCCUAAGUUUAUCAGUUCAAAAUGAAUCAAGGGGGAUCAAAUACACGAGUAAAUUUGCAGGGAACUAAUGCAAACAAUGUACAUUGGGGCCAUAUCUAAAUUAGCCCAAGAGGGCAGAAAGAAAGUGGAAUUUGUGAGAUAGAUUCUUAAAGCAAAAAAAAAAAAGAAAAGAAAAAAAGAGAGAGAGUGAGAGAACUUUCCUUCAAGAAAGAUUGUGCACUGUAACAACAUAAAAAUCGAUUGUGAGAUUAAACAAAGCAAUAGAGGAGAUAAUUCAAACCUGGUUACGGUGGAAUUGAUGAUGGAGAAAGAGGAACAGGAGGAGGAGGAGGAGGAGGAGGAGGAGGUGAUGGACAUCAGAUGAUGGCGAUCACCAUCAUUAGUCAUGAUAAUGAUUUAUGAGGGGUGCGUGGGGGGGAAAAUAGGAAAUUAAACGGAUAAAAAUGAAAAAUGAAUCAAUGAUCCCGCAAAAAUUACAUGGAGGUCCCUGCCCCGGAAAUUGACUGACCGUUGAAACCAACUGAAUUUCAGUUUCCCACUUUGUAGUCGGCUGCUUAAAACCUAGGCUCCGAUAAGGGGAAAAUAAAGGGAAAAAAAAAAAAAAAAAAACCCCUCCUUAUUCUGUCAGUGUAAGCUUUUACUUUCUCCUUUUUUGACUUUUUAAAUUUUUUAUCGGAGAAAGGAGGCGUGGGCGGGGCCAAUGGGUUUCCAAGUAAAUUUACUGGGCACCUUUUGUUUUUCUUAUUUUUUUUCUUGGAAAAAAAAAUACGCAAUAUACAAAGGGUGCUCAUAAAGUUGCAAUCAUGGACUACCAACAUGUACAUCUAUUUCUACGUGGCAUAUUCGUGAAAAGUGAAAUGAUAUAUUUUUUAAAUUUUUAUUUGAAAGUAUUAAUCAAGUAGCUAUAAGGUCUUCGUUACGAUUUUUAAGUUCUUUAAUUCCCAUUUAUCCAUUGUAAAGUUUGGAAUCUCCAAAAUGCAUGAGUCCUUUCUUUUAGGGAAAAGAGUCCCAAUAGCCCUUUAACUAUUAGUCAGGUGAACUUUUGGCCCUCCAACAAUUAAGAGUAAAUCUUUGGCCCUCGAUUUAUUGAAAGUGCAAAAUAUUGGACCUUCUGUCAAAUUCACUCGUUAAGAUUGACGGAAACUAACACCAUAUGAAACUUAUGCUAAAAUAUGAAGGGCAUUUUAGUCUGUCCAGCAACUUUCUAUUUGGUAAAAAGGGAUUUCUUCCCCAACGAAAAGCUAUAGGAAGAAAAUCUCCCUGGCAGCUGAAGCUUUAGUAUGAUUUAAGCAAAGCUUCUCCGACAUAAAUUAAGCAAUUCCCAAUAGUAGGUUACUAAAGUUGCAAGCUUUAGAUCUAUGAACCUUUCGUGCUCUGACAGUCAUAAGAAUUUAGACGGAAUCACCCCCACUUAUGCAGCAGUUUAGCUAAAACUUCCAAGGAACACCAUCGUCACGCUAUGUACUGGCUCCAUUAUUGUUGUUGUGAAGCAUUUUCUUUGACAUGAAUUUCUUUGACAUGAUAGCAGAAGAGAGGAGCUAGAGAUUGAAUAGCUUAAUUAUUUCUUGAAUUGACUUUGGGGGGGGGGGGAGUGAGGAGGAGAAGUUGGGAAGGAGGAGGCGGCCCAAGUUGGAUUUGGUGAGGAAGGAGUGGAGGGAACAUCAUGUGGCAAUUAUGGUGGACUAAUGGGGCAGAGGCUAGAGAGAGCUUUUUGGAACCGGUAGAUACCAGAAGAUCAAGAAACCUUAACUUCAGCCAAAAUCAACACCAACCCAUCUCAGAAACAGAUCCAACCCCUUCACUCGUCGACUCAAAUCGCUCAAAAUCAACCAUUUCCUCUUGGAACCUGUAAUUCCCCGGCGGAAGCUUCAAGAGAUGUGCACUGGUGAUGAUGGUCGACGAAUUGCAGGAGCUUCCAACCACUUGCGGUGGAGGGAGAGAGAAUGGUAGAAGGCAACAAUUAAGUUAAACUGAUUUUUACUCUUUUUUACUAAGUGGAUGACAGCUUGAACUAAAAUGCCCCUUGUAUUUCGGCAUGCAUCUCACGUGGUGUUGGUUUCCAUUAGUUUUAACAGCUAAACUUGACAGAAGGUUUAACUUUUUACACUUUCGAUAGAUCGAGGGUUAAAAUUUGACUCUUAAUUAUUGGGGGACCAAAAGUUCACCUGGCUAAUAGUUAGAGGGCCAAUGGGACUCUUUUCCCUUUUUUUUAUUAUGAAGAGUUUUAAAUGCACUGCUGCUUUCUUAUGAUGAAUUUUGUUGUUUAAUAACAAGAGCAAUUCAAAAUAUUCGGCAUAAGAAUAUGUAUAGGUGUAUAAAGACGAAAAAGGCUCUGGAAAUUCAAUCAUCCGCUAGUUAAUGCAUCCACGUGAUGAGAAAAUAAGGACGUACGAAUUUCUGCUUCUGCUAUGAAUGCAAUUGAUUAAGUACAAAUGUGAAAUUAUCUCAUAUUAAUGAUAGGACAAACCGAUAACUCAUUCACACAAAAGUGCGUGUAUACACACGUAUGUAUGUAUCUAUGCAUGUAAGUAAAUUUAUGGACUGCGACGAUGAUGUCUUCUUUUUCCUUCUUAUAAAAAGAGUAUAGGUUCUAGUUCUACCAAUAAUUAAGGCCCAAGCGCUUCCUAUGACAAAAGAGGUUCAAUUGUGCAAACAAAGCAAAUAGUUUGUGAGUCAAUUCAGUCAAAAUUCGAUUCAAAUUCGACUAACAUCGAGGCCAUUAUUAAUUAAGAAACUUAGUUAGUUUACUUGCAGGUUGUCUCAAAUAUAAAUAUAAAUACAAACUAAUAUAUAUAUUUUAUAUAAUUUUUAUUUUAAUAAUAUAAUUACAUAUAUAUUCUUAAUAUUUUCCUUUAUUAAUUAAGAAAAAAUGACUACUUUAUUUUAAUUAAAAAAUAAAUAUAAACUAUUUUUUGUUUUUUUAAGUUCUGAGUGUUUUAGAACUCAAAUUCAACUACACUUGAAUUUGACAAUAAAUUCGAGCUCGAGUUUUAUAUUGAAAGUUUGUGGAGUUCAAGUUCGAUUUCAAACUUGAUAAAAUUGAGUUGAAUUCGACUUUGAUUAGAUCAAGAUUUGAUUCAACUUGACUCAUUUGCAGUCUUAACUCACGCAUCAUCAAUUAACAAGUACUACUCAAUUUUUACCCUCAGCAGUAAUGUGUGAAAAAUUCCUAGUUCUGCUGUGCAUAAAUUAAAACCACCAGCCCUUGCCUCCCACCAAAAUGCCACAUUUAAGUGGUUUGCUUCAAAAAAUCCAGGCGGGUGUGUUAUGCACCCGUUUGGUCCAGUGGUAGUUUAGUCCCCUCCGAGUUAUCCUUGGGCCUCCUUAGGUCCGCCCCCCUCCCCUUUAGUGUAGAAUAGAUUAGGUUAUACAACAUUUGUCGUGUCCGAAAAAAAAAAAAAAUUGCUGUGCGUAAAUUAAGUAGUAGUACAUCUAUUUGCAAUAACUCAACAAUUAUGAGCAGCAGAUAAGAUGAAUUAAGUAUAUCGGUUAGCAGUCAGCUCAACCUCAACCACUAACAAACCUAUUAAAGCUCUCCAUAUAAUCCCCAAGCCCAGAUUCAAGGUACAUUUUUCUUUCCUUUUUUUUUUUGGUUGUUGGGUGAAUUAUGAAAUUGAAUCAAUAAGACUGGAAGAAAGGAACGCAAGGCCAAAUAGUACUUAUGGAAUGGCAUUGCCUAGUCAAUUCUUAUUGCUUUGUCCCUUGGUUGCUACCACGCUUGUCGUCUUGAGAAAGAAGAGAAAGGGAAAAUCACUGGGGCUUCCGUCCAAUUGACCAAAGAGAGCAUCUUAGAACUCUCCCAUGUAUUUUUUUUGUUGUUUGAAAAAUUUAGAGAAUACAAUAGUGCAUUUAUCUGUUCUGGAAAUUCACCUCCAAACCUAUAUAAAAGCUCAGAAAAAGAAAAAAAAGAGAGAAAGAAGAAAAGGUGGGAAAAAGGGAAUCCCUUAAAAGAAGUUGGGGGGAAGAGAAAAUUACAAAUGAAUCAUUUAUGGCCUCGCGUAAAAGAAACAAAAAGGCCUCCUACUUGAUCUAGUACUAAUUACUACGUGAUUACUGCUCGGCCUGGUCCGGUGUGGACUUUCUAUGAUGGGUCUGUGGAAAAAGAGUUUCGUUCUUUUCCAACAGCCCAAUACCUCACCCAUGUUCCGUUAAAAUCUACAACGGGUUUCUGAUAAAAUUUUCUUCCUUUCUUCUUUCUUGGGAUUAAUUUCCUCUUUUCGAUUUAUAUUUAGUAAAGCGUUAUUUAUUCAUGAAGGGUUUAUCAAGAUAUUUAACUGUAGGUGACUGGGGAUUGUGAUUGUUUUUCUCUUCAUGUGCUUUGUAAUGAAUGAAUAAAUUCAUAUGAUUGCUUUUCUUAUGCCACUGUAGCUGAAGCAAAGGUGUGUGAGGAAUUUCUCGGUGCAAAUUGGGAAGGGACCAAAUGCCAAAGACCUCAAAAUCGAUGGAAUUAAGGACAUCAUAGCAGUUGCUUCCGGGAAAGGCGGUGUUGGCAAGUCCACUACAGCUGGUAUUUCUCAAACGAUUCCCUGUUGUCUCUGAUGUAGUUUCUUGAAUAGAAGGUUAGGUUUUGUACCAAGGUUUUGCUCCUUUUUCCGUCGAAGGGUAAACAACUGAAGUAAGUCUGCUUUUGACACUAUACGGGAUUAGUCAUUUGAAGAAGUAUGCAGUGGAUAGGAUUUCAGGGUUAACAAUCUAAAAAUGAUAAAAACAAAAUUAACGUAGGAUAUUUUUCCACUUGCACCUCUGAGUAUAGCGAAUUUUAGCAUGUUAGCUCUAUAUCUUAAGACAGAUCAUAUAAAUUGGAGAUGCAUAUUGGAAACGCAAAUGUGGCAUAACAGACAGCGAUAUUAGAAGCAUUUCUGUGUAUUUUGCCAUCUGUUUUUAAAUUCUUAGUUCUUACGGUUGCACUAACUGAUUAAGUCAUGUGCAUGGUUACAAAAUUGUGAUGACAAUGAAAACAUGCCUUCUUCGCUUGUAUUCCUUCCUACCAAUUUGACCUCUUUUGAGAUGUUUAUGUUUGCUUGACCGUACAGUUAAUUUAGCUGUUUCACUUGCCAAGAAGUGUCAACUUAAAGUUGGGUUGCUCGAUGCUGAUGUAUAUGGACCGUCAAUUCCACUAAUGAUGAGACUUCGGGGAAAGCCUGAAGUUAGUAUAGGUGAUGCUUUGAAUUCCUUGAAAUUGUAUGAACUGUCUUAAUUUUUCCUAAGUGGGAGGAACUAUCUUAUUUCAGUUAGAGUGAUGGUUAAUUAUCUAAAAGAGGGUUUUGAUACUAACUAUCUAGAGAAGUUAGGAUACUUGUUUUAUUUUUAUUCUUCCGCCUGCUGAUAAUGUGUUCUAACUUCUCUUUGGUAUGCUCUUUUAACAGAUAAGAAAAUGAUUCCAAUUGAAAACCAUGGAGUGAAAUGUAUGUCAAUGGGAUCUCUGGUUGACGUUGGUGCAGCAAUCGUUUGGAGGGGUCCAAUGGUAUCAUGUUACACUGUUGUAUCACUUGGCAUUUUAGAUUGGUUUGCUGUAUCUCUUUUUUUUUUUGGGGGGGGGGGGUUAAUUUUCUGUACUUUUCCUUUUUUAGUUUUUCCCCUUUGCAAUUUUUGCUGCACUUUUUUUGGCUUCCUUGUGUUGUUCACUUAUUCAUCGGUUAUAUUCUGUUUUACGUUAAUUGAAGCCUAUUUAUUUUCUUCCUCAGAAUUGCUAUUUAUACUGGAGGUGAAUUUCUGAUUUCUUCUGCCUAUCUGUUUACACUGAUUUGGUUACAGUUACAUCCUUUAAGAAUCUUAAUAUUUUCAUCAGUUUCAUGCUUACUCUUGCAGGUUAUGAAAGCUCUUGAACAGAUGACAAGGGGAGUUAACUGGGGAACCUUGGAUGUUCUUGUGGUUGAUAUGCCCCCUGGUACUGGUGAUGCUCAGAUAUCUAUUUCCCAGAGGCUGCAACUGUCAGGUACCUAACAAGUUUGUUGGAAGUUGGUCUUACAUUUUUGUAGUAUGCUGGAAUAGCAAGAGAUUGAAGGAUGUCGAAAUGAAGCCUGUUGCAGCUCAGGCUAGAAUAAUGCUGGGUUUGUAAGUUUUGAAUAACAUAAUCUCAAUUGCUGCUCGUUCAUCUCAGUAUAAUAAAGCUUCCUUUUUGUAAUACCCGUUGAGCAAAUUUAACUUUCAAAUACAUAUUUCCAGUAUGCUGCUUUCUAGUCAAAUAUGUUAAGCUUCGUCAGCAUUACUUCUUCCUUACCCAGUAUGGAUAUUCUGGCAGUAACUAUAGGCACUUAAAAUGAGAACCAUGCUCUUUCAGCAUGUGUCUUUCAGGAGAACUUUUCCUUGCAAAUUCCACUUUUCAGAUGAUGGAGCAUUUGAAGUCAAUUCUAUGCUUAAUCUGAAUUCGAUUUUUUUUUUUGGGGGGGGGGGGGUUUGCUUUGAUAAUUUUGAAAUGUACCUGUAUUCCUUGAUAAUCUGGAACUACUUUGUUCUGUUUGCAGGAGCAGUAAUUGUUUCAACUCCUCAAGAUGUUGCACUACUGGAUGCUCGAAGAGGGGUGAAAAUGUUCUCUCAAGUCAAUGUACCAGUAUGAUCUUUUUUUGAGCAAAUUGUAUUCCCAUAAAAGUUUUUAUGCUUUGAGUGUGUUUACGAUAGCACAUAGGUUCACAAUUGAAUGCUAUCUAAAGACCAGAGUCAAUAACAUUCCAGGUUCAACAUACCUGGUUUUCAAUCUUUUGAUCUGUAUGCUUGUGCAUGUCAAUUCAUGGUUGAGUUUUGGAUCAGAUUAUUAGAGUUUUGCUUCUCCUCAGAAAACAGGGCAUGAUGGGAGAAUUAACAAAUACAGAAGGACUAGUUUCUGCAAUCAAAAGCUAUUGGCACGCACGCACACACACACUAUAUUUCUUUUGUCCCAGAUGCUGUUCACUGCUAACUGUUUAAAACCUUGUUCUCAUCUCACAGAUCCUUGGACUCUUGGAGAACAUGAGCUAUUUUAAAUGUCCCAAAUGCGGAGAACCUUCGGAUAUUUUUGGUAAGGGAGGGGCGCGCAAAACAGCAGAGGAAAUGGGUGUGCAGUUUCUGGGGGAGGUAAUUGGAUGUUUUUUGUGUCGCUUGUUAGGGUGUUCGGAUAGUUUUGCAGGUCACCCUCCUAUAAGCAUGUUGUUUAAUCGUUUCAGAAUAAUAUAACAAGUGUUAUCCCUGUUCUGUCUUGGGCACUGAAAUUAGGACUUCCUGUACCUGUUGGAUGAAAAAUUGUAAGUUUGAUCAUAUAGAUAGCUGAACAAUUUCCUCUGCCAAUCAUUGUUUAUGGCCCAACCACCUAGUCUACAAGUAAAACACGCUCUGUCGUUACUUCAAUAAGGUUCUUUUUGUGUUGGAGAGGUAGGUUAGUGUUUGAUUCCCAGAAUUUUUGUACUACUGGCUAAUUUGUUGAACCGUCGCUAUCUGAUAUAUGGUAGCUGGUGAUAUCUUGACCUGCUUCUAAUUCUCUCCGUCCUCUUUUUUUUUGGCACUAAAUAUCCUCCUCCUUUGCUUCUCCUUGAGGCUGCAUAUUUUUCAUGAGAUUCUUUUCAAACUACAAACAUUUUGCUUAAUUAAUGCUCUAAUCUGUUGUAUUUCAUCUUUAUAGGUGCCGUUGGAGGUUGGCAUCAGAAGCAGUUCUGAUGAAGGUGUUCCUAUUGUAGUAUCAGACCCUGAAUCUGUAGUCUCGCAUGCGUACGGUGAUGUGGCCGAGAAAGUUGCCAAUAUACUUGACGAAUUGGCCAAGGAGCAGCAAUUCCGACCAGAGAUAGUACUGUAGAGGUCGCAGUGAGCUGCUGUUUAACAUCAACUUUGUGCUUUUUGACAGCUUUUGAGAUGGGAACAUCGGGUGGUGGUGAAAGCCGGACUUGGGAAUGGGCCGCUGCUGUUGUGGUUAAUUAUCUCAGGGAAGAAGAAACUGAAACAUGUAUAAUCCCGUCAAAGGUGUGGUUGUAUUAUGCAUUUGCUGCAGCUGCUUGAAAGUGCAGCUUAUUAUUGCAAGGUUGCUGCAAGUCUCGGGCGGGCAAAAUGGUGAUACGGCCUUUAAGUUCUCUUUCAACUCAUUUUGUUUGAUCUUCUUCACGUCGUUUUGCUUAACAUUUUGUCAAAUAAAUGCAAGACACACUACUGAGAUGAAUAGAAUCGCGAGUACAUAAAUGUGAAAUAGCCAGCCUUCCAAACUUUUCUCGGAUAAACAAGAAGCUUUGGAUCAAUUAGUACACAUCUCUUUGACUCGUCCGGUCAUUUUAGCAGAUCCCUCAAAAGUUAAUACUAAUAAUAUGCGCCUUUUUGCUUUAUUUGAAUAAAUACUAAUAAAGAAAUGAGGGAUGGAGACCUAAAAUGCCAGUGGGAUGGAUGAUCGUUCCCGGGAAUAUAAUAAAUUCAACAAGGAUGGUCAAAAGGAGUUUUAGGUUCGUUUCUUCAACUAGGAGAGGGCUUAUAAUCACACCAUCCGCCCUCCGUGACACUUUGGCAUUUUUUAUUCAAUCUUCUUAGCCAAGCCUAUAUAUAAUAUAAUAUUGACUAAGAAUUGAAAAGAGGAAAGGCUAAAAGGUGGCUUGCUUGGAUUGUUUGUUUUCGUCGGAAAAUAUUGUCGUUUUCCGUGAUCACAUUUCCCUAUCACCUUUUUCCCUCACAUAUAUCAAAUCGCUACAGUAAUUUUUUCAUGAAAAAUGAUGAAAAAUGCAAUCCAAACAUAACCUUAGGGAAAGGAGCGAAAAAAGGAAUUUUUAGCAGGUUUUUUUUUUUUUUUUUGGAGAUCAAGAAUGUGUGAAUGAAUGGGAUUUGUAUUGGGUUGUCAAAUUAUCAACUUGAGUUAUAUGGACCCUUUCUUCCAAUCUUCCCCCCCCCCCCAGCAGAUGCGGUGUCCCGACUGGCUAAGAUAAAGCUUAUCGCCAUAUCGGUCACGAAACUUCCAUGAGAGUGACCAGAGCUGAAGCAUCGCAACAAGAGAUCAACCGAUUCUAAUUCUGAUUUUUCUUUCAGUUCUUGCUUCUUUUCUUUAGAAAAAUCACGAACUUGAUGGACAGCUGACCUGAGUUUCUUCUCUGAGCCAAUAUUUAACGCCCGCUUGACUUUCCAAAUCAAAGGAAAGGGCGAACUGAAUAUGUCCCUGCUAAUCCGAGUUGCAUUUUCGAAAGCAGCCGCAGAUUUGGCCUCUGGGAGAGAUGGCAACAGAUGCUGAGGAUCGUACCCGAAAGCUAUUCUGCAGAUGUUAUCAGAUGCAAAUCUCUCAAGUAUGUCUUGGAUAUGAUCUUGGGAGCCCAGAGCUGGACUUGCUUGUAAAAGUAAUUUUGAUCAUCUUAAUGUUCAACAUUGUUUGUAAAUUUAGUAGUACAAGAACAAUGUGGAUGGUUUAUCUUGUUAUAUAUGAUUGGUUCUACACUGCGUUGCUGCAUGCCGCAGCUAGCCGCUUAUAUAUAUAUAUAUAUAUAUAUAUAUAUAUAUAGCUGCAUUUAUAUCAUUGCCAGAAUUGUCUACUUAAUUUCACCAGUUUCCACUAUUCUGGAUUUCUUUCUUAGUUUUAUAUUAGCUAAAGUCUCCAUUAGUCUUUCUUCGGGUCCCAACUUUCACUCCUUGGAACUUAACUCUGCCCUUGCGUCAUUGCAUGUGUAAUACCUUGCAAACUUCGGACUCAUGUGAAGUCAUUUUUCUCUUGAUCUUGGAGUCAAUAAUUCUAAUGGUCAAUUGUGCAUUUUCAAGGUUGAUUAAGAUUCUUAUUAUUCUUGUUGCUAUUAGAAAGUUUUUUACUCCGUUCAUGUCAAUCAUAGGAGCAGGGAAAAGAUUCAACUUCUGAAUGCAGCACAAUGCUGUACAUCUGCAUUAGAUAUGGCAAGGCCCUAACCUUUGGAACAAUUUCAAGAUAGCAACUGUUCAAUUAUAACUUCUAAUCAACGGAAUGUAUACUGAAUUCCUUAUCGUACGGCAGAACUAAAAUUACAAGUAGCAUUUUUUCCUGAGAAAUUAGUCCUUGCUAUUUUUGGGGGAAAAAAUUUUCACUGGUGUUGACCAGAUUUCACUAAUUCUUUGCCGGUCGGUUUUCUAAGUAAGCUUGGACCGGACACCCAACUGAUUUUCAGUUCAUCAGUUGAACCAGCCAGCAUCUGCAUGGACCGGACAUCGUUCCAUUCCUUCUCACUCGUACAAUAAUAUGGCCUAAUUUGUUAGUAAGCACCAGAUCAGCUCUCAUUUCUUGAGCAAACUCCAACAUGAUACCUACAGCUACUCUCAAUGCAUGUGCACAUAAGCACACACGGAAGCACCAGUACUUGCAUCGUAUCAAUCAAUCUCUUUCUACCCCCACUGCCCAGAACAAAAUCAAGACCACGAUGAAGGCCACGGAGCAGACAAAGAUCAUUGUAGAAUUUCGCGCAUGGCAUCCAGGUAACAAAAGGAAGCUAACAGUUGGAGCUUCUCAGAAUGGAGAAACCAACACAAUGUGCAUUGAAUGAAUCAGCCCGACUUCAAAACUACUCCGAGGACUUUUCCGCAUUUACAUAGUGCCCGAACUUUGGGAGGCAAUUAAAACCAUAUACACAGUAAAAUUGAUCAAUAUCCAAAUUCUCUUUACAUAGAUCCCAACAAAAUUUUCUAAAAUCAAAGACAUGAUUAACCUGCUAAACUCACACUUCGAUUCAGCUCAACGUGGAAAACAAAGCUUUAUCCAGAUUUCAGGAAAAACAAAACAAAAUUGCAGUUGGGGAUUUGCAUUCGUUCAAAUAAGACAUUCCUGAUCCCAGCUAUCCCUCGCUUUAAUAAAAAUUUAGUUUGGCACUUUUGAACAAACCUUGUGUUUAUGGCAGACAACCAGAAUGCAACUGAAAUCCUGUAUGUCACGGAUUCCAGCAAUGAUACUGAUCAUGUUUCUCUGUCCAGCUCCUGCAAUUCUGCAUGCAUCUGGAAAACUUAGAUUCUUGAAGAUAUCAAACUUUGUAACAAGAAGCAUAUAGAGCUAAAGGAAUUUGCAGUAAUAUUUGUUCCAACAACCAGAGAAGUUCAUAAAGGCAAAACAUGCAUAUUAAAAUCAGUUAUCUUGCGACCAAUUUGAUAAAAGAAAUGUAAAAUCUCAUCCAUUCAUUUUAUAUAUAUAUAAAAGAAUAUAUAAUUCCAACAAAUAAUUGCAUUCGAGUUCCAACAAAAAUAGGAAAUCUUGUAGGAAGUAGGAAUAAACAUCACGGACAAUAAAUUUUGAAAAUUAUCAUCUUCUUGAUUCCGAUGCAUCUCUUGAAAGUCAAACUAUGACAUUAUAAUGCAAAACCUUUCAAUUUAGUAGCCAAAAAUUUUUGAAUGCCAUGGUGUUUGUAACCCGAUUUGUUGCCUAGAAAAGUAAUAACGUGAUGCACAAUUUUUUUUUUGUGGGGUUAAUUCGAGAAUCUAUCGCAUAAAUUAGACUCACUAUCUUUGCUGAAUAACUUAUCCACUGACAUAUAAAUUGAUACUUGGAAACAGUAAAAUAUGUACUCACUGGCACAUUGCAGGACAAAGUGGAGACAAGUAAACAUUUGUUAGCCUAGCCAACCAUCAUGGCAGGGAUGGUAGAUUACACUUCAGGCCUAUACAUUAGUUAACCUAGCACUUAUUAUUAGCCAAGCAUAAUGCUUCAUGCAUAAAAUAUACUUUAUCACUUACUUCGCAAGUGGGGCAUAGCAACCUCAAGGGAUGGAUAGGCACCUUUUCUUGAACUCAAUUUUACGUAGUUCUUGUAAUUGAUAAGCUAUCUCCUGAAUAAACUGCAAUCCAUCAUUCCCAUUCCGGAGUGAGUUCAAAGCAUGCUUGAUAAUAUCCCGGUCCAUCUCAAGUGCUUCCAACCUGCUUUUAAGGUCAAUAAAUUCACUCUCAAAGGUAUCUAAUUUUCUUACACCUCCAUUUGUGGAUAAAUUUUCCUGGCUAACAUCCAGAUAAUCACUUUCUUCACAAAGAAGUUGAUUUUCUUGAACUAAUUUAGCAGACACAUCCCCCCCAGAGAUUCCAUUUGGUGCACACAAAUCAUUAUGCAAUGACAAUGCACACUCUCCUUUUUGAUGGCUUAUCUGAGUUUGAGUAUCAUAAGGCAGCUUCUCAUCAUCCUCAACCCUUUUGGUUGCAUGUUCAGCAAAUUCGCCAUUUGCCAAGUUUAUAUGCACCCAAUUACUAGAAAUAUGAUGAAACUUCUUCUCUAACUUUUCCAGACACAGCGAAAUAUAUAGUUUUUCAUCCUCAAAAUCCAGCUCUGAGUUACUUAACUGUCUAGGUUUAUCACUUCCUUUCAAUGCAUUGUCAGAUUUUGAAUCAUCAGUGGCAAUGUCGCCAUUUUCAACGGGAAGCAGAUGAUAUUUCUCACCUGUCUUGCUUUCUGCUUUAGCAUUGCUGGUUUCAUUACAGUGAUAAUCUAUCUCAGGUCCUUCUAAAAUAUUAUUCCUAUAUAUCUCUACUUCAGCUUCCAAAUCUUGCACCUCUUUCUCUCUUUCAGCAAGAAGAUCAUUAGCCUUUUCCAGUGCCUCCAUAUCAUAUUCUGCCUGCUCCUCCAUCAUUCUUAAGUACUGCAAGGCUUCCAUAUGUAGUGCUGCCUUUUCCUCUUGCAAUCUUGUGAUCAUGGCCAUUGCCUGGUUUGCAGCUAUUGCAGCAGCAUUUCUUUCUUCUUCCAAUUCCUUAAACAUAGCUUUCAUGCAUCUCCUGUCAUAGUCAACCUGUCGUUUUAACCUUUCAAGAAGAGUUUCACCCUCAAUUUCUUUGACACUGAUUCCAUCCAGAGAUUCAUGAUCAGAAUCAUGUCUUUCCAAUGCAGCAGCCAUUUGAACCGUAUCUAUUGCAUCAGAGCCCAAAGCAUCACUUUUUAGGAGGGCAUCACAAUGAGCUCUGGGACUUCUGUCUUUUGGUGAUAGGUCCACAUUCGACGAAGAUAUUUGUGAAGGUGAUCUCAGAGCUUCUUCUACUCUUCCAGAAUCAUUGGUUUUAUGUGGCUCUGCAAGGACAUCAGGUUCCGGUUUUUGUUUAUUAGUAGAAGCUGAUUUGUUGGCUGAGUUGACAUUCCUGGACAUUGUAGGAUUACAAUCAUCUGUAAAUCCUGCUCCUAUUUUGUGCUUAGCAAGUGAGCUGUUCCCAUUCACACUGCAGCCUGUUGCCUCUGCCGCUGUAAGCCAUUGGCCAGAUCAGAGAUAAGCCAAAUGCAACAAGAUAAAUGCAUUGAGCAAACUGAUUUUAGAGUAUCAUCAGGAGCUAUUCAGAAUGAAAGUGCAAAACACUCACCCACCCCCCCCCCCAAAACAAAAACACACUCCAUGCUGGUGCACAGACAGACGCAGGCGCAUGCACAACCACACUGAGAGAGAGAGAGAGAGAUAACUUCCACUUACACUUCUCAGAAAUUUUCACGACAUUGGAUGAUGAAAGAACACUGUUAAGUGAAAGAAGCUCGGAGAGUAUAGACAGGUCGGAAGGUUGUGGGAAAGCAGCAAUUGGCUUGUCCGUCUCUACUGACUGGGGAAUAUCAUCCAAUGAAACAAGCUCUGGCAAUGCAGCAGAAGUAGUAGGCUUUGGAUUGGAUUGUAUCCAAUUAAGUUCUUCCAAACCAUGCUUCAUAAAAGCACCUGAUUCCAAGUGACCAACAUGGUUGGCCUCACUUGAUUCAAGCUGCACGGGUUGAUCAAGAAGUGAAGGCAAUGGUUCAGGAGUUUGGCAAUUCUGGUUUACUGGAAUUGAAUCACCUGCUAGUGCCUUAGGCACUUUUCUUGUAACCAAUUGGAUGUUAGAUUCUGCCCCAAAAUUAUUGUUUCCAUGAGAUGUUGAAGUUGCAUCGUCAUCAUCAGAAAAUGGGACCUCUGACUCUGAAUCAGAAGUAAUCUUCAACUCUGUGUAACCCACGUGAGACAGAGAGUCAACACAAGUACUCCCACCAGGACAAGGGGCCGAUGGCCCUGAAAACUUAUCCCUUAAUCUCUUCAGGCUAUCACGACGGCUGAAACGACUACGACCUGGCACACGAGGUAAUGGAGGUUUGACAUUGGCUUUAGAAGCGCCAUAUCCAACUGGGGCGACCUCGAGCAACCUUUGAGCAUUUGAUUUAACCCUUAAUAUCUUGUUGCAACAAGAGCAGGUCCUUGGACCUGAAGAAUCAGAGAUGACACUCUUGUUCAAAAGAAGGCUCUUCAGACCAGAUUCAUCAGUAUCUACCCCUAGUUUCGCAACCAAAAACCGGCACGAUUCUGAAUUAGAUUUGUUCCUCCUAGCCAACGAC